rnacentral:rRNA from 1 species
UACGUAGGGGGCAAGCGUUGUCCGGAUUUAUUGGGCGUAAAGAGCUCGUAGGUGGUUUGGUAAGUCGGAUGUGAAAUCUCCAGGCUCAACCUGGAGGGGUCAUUCGAUACUGCCAUGACUAGAGGUCGGUAGGGGAGUGUGGAAUUCCUGGUGGAGCGGUGAAAUGCGCAGAUAUCAGGAGGAACACCCGUAGGGAAGGCGGCACUCUGGGCCGAUUCUGACACUGAGGAGCGAAAGCGUGGGGAGCGAACAGG